rnacentral:rRNA from 1 species
UACGAAGGGGGCUAGCGUUGUUCGGAAUCACUGGGCGUAAAGGGCGCGUAGGCGGCUUUGUAAGUCGGGGGUGAAAGCCUGUGGCUCAACCACAGAAUUGCCUUCGAUACUGCAUGGCUUGAGACCGGAAGAGGUUAGUGGAACUGCGAGUGUAGAGGUGAAAUUCGUAGAUAUUCGCAAGAACACCAGUGGCAAAGGCGGCUGACUGGUCCGGUUCUGACGCUGAGGCGCGAAAGCGUGGGGAGCAAACAGG